rnacentral:lncRNA from 1 species
UUUAACUUCCUCUUUUCCCUUAACUUUCCAAAAAAAUGACGAAGACCUCAAAGUCUGUUCCUCAAAAAAGAAACUCCCCCUGCUUCGCGACAGGCUGAAGAGAGAAAUGUUUCGUCUGCUGCUAAUGAGGAAAAGACACCGGUACCCUGUUCGUUCCUGUGGGGUAGGUUCCCCACCGGUGGUGAUUUCAAGGUCGAGAAAACCUUUUCAGUAUCGGGUCGGUGCAAGCCAUUCUCGAGUAUAUGCUACCGACAGUCUCCUCUCUAUAGUCGAGGAGGAUUGCUAUUGGGUUGGUAAGCAUGUGGUGGUUCCUACACCUGAUAAGCGAUUACUACCCAUGUGGAGGGUUUCUUAAGUAUUUACACUUAUCCUUCAUGUUGGUCUCUUUGGACCCGGUGAUUGUCGCCUUCUGUAAGAGGUACAAGAUGACCCUCAGUCAAAUUCACCCCUUUUUCUGGAGGAUAGUAAUUCCCCUCCGCUUCUUCGUAAGCAAAAUCGAGAAGUAUCCCUUUACCAUCGACCACCUCAUGCGUAUGUACAGUCACUGACUCUAUCGAGGGGGGCUAAUAAAAAUUCCCC